UUUUUCCUUCCAUUUUAGGGGGAAAAAUAAAAAUGGAUUCCAGCUCUGUGCUGGCUCAUUCCCAUCCCGGAUCCUCACCUGGGAAUUAGGGAUUGAUCCCGAUUUUUUGCUGAAAUUUUCUUGGGAAUUCCCACUGGGAAUGCGCCUUUUCCACCCCAAAUCCUCACCCUGGAAUCAAAACAUCCCGAAUUCCUUUCCCUGGGAUUCCCUCACUUCCUGGGAUGCUCCAGGAAUUCCUGCUGGGACCCACCAGCUCCUCAAAAUCCUACAAAUUCCCUCUUCCCUUUUUUUUUUUUUUUUUUUUUUUCCUUCCUCUUUUUCUCCCAAUUUUCCCUCCUUUUCCCCUCUUUUUCCCCCUCUCUUUUUUCCUCCUUUUCCCCUCCCUUUUCCCUCUUUUUACCUCACAUUUUUCCCACCUGUUUCUCUUUCUUCCCCCUCUUUUUUUUCUUCCUCUUCCCCUCUUUUUUCCUUCCUCUUCCCCUCUUUUCCCUCUUUUUUCCCUCCUUUUCCCCUUCCCCCCCUUUUCCCCCUCCUUUCUCCCUCCCGCUCUUCCGAUCUGUCCCUUCCCCCCUUUUUUCCUGCCAUUUUCGCUUUUUUCCUCCUUUUCCUGACCUUUUUCCCCUCUUUUUUCCCCUCACAUUUUCCCCACCCUCUCCUCAACCUUUCCCCUCUUUCCCUCCCUCUUUUUUUCUCCUCCUUUUCUCCCUCUACUUUUCCCCCUCCUUUUCCCUUUUCCCCCUCCUUUUCCCUCCCUGUUGCUGCGAAUGACCCAUGAUCCAUGGGAUAAUUAUGGAUCCGUGGGAGCAGCAGCUUCGUGCCUGGGAAUUCAUUAUCCAAAAGUUCCGGAGAAAUGAGGGGGAAAAUCGUUAUCUCGUUGCCAAAGCCUUUCCCAUCCAUCAGCCAGGGCGGAAUUCCCGCCGGGAACACGGAGCUGAUGGAUGUGGCAGCUGGAAUUCAGAAUUCUCAGGAUAUCGGGGCUCUGGCACCUCGGAUCGGCCUUCAGAAUUCCCAGGAUAUCGGGGCUCCGGCACCUCGGAUCGGCCAAAAUUCCUCCAGACUCAAAUUGAGAAUUCCCAAAUUCUGGAUCCCCCAAGCCCUGCCUGGAUUUAGGGAGAGAUUCCCAAAUUCUGGAUCAGCCAGAUCUUGGGAACUAGGGAGAGAUUCCCAAAUUCUGGAUCAGCCAAAUCCUGGGAAUUAGGGAAAGAUUCCCAAAUUCUGGAUGAACUACAUCUGGAAUUAAGGAGGAAUUCCCAAAUUCUGGAUCCUCAAAAUCCUGGGAAUUCAGGGAGACAUUCCCAAUUUCUGGAUGAGCCACAUCCUGGGAAUUCAGGGAGAGAUUCCCA
rnacentral:lncRNA from 12 species